rnacentral:misc_RNA from 1 species
GAUGAAGAACGUAGCGAAAUGCGAUACUUGGUGUGAAUUGCAGAAUCCCGUGUACCAUCGAGUCUUUGAACGCAAGUUGCGCCUCAAGCCAUUAGGUUGAGGGCACGUCUGCCUGGGCGUCACAUAUCGUUGCCUGAUGCCAGUUUCCUCGUGAUGGGUGACUGUGCAGGGCGAAUGAUGGCUUCCCGUGAGCAUUGUUGCCUCAUGGUUGGUUGAAAAUUGAGUCCUUGGUAGGGAGCGCCGUGAUAGAUGGUGGUUGAGUGACGAACGAGACCCAAUCAUGUGAGACCCCUACCGAAUUUGGCCUUCAUGACCCACAUGCGUCUUUGGAACGCUCAUGACGAGACCUCAGGUCAGGCGGGGCUACCCGCUGAGUUUAAGCAUAUCAAUAAGCGGAGGA